GUCUCAAAGAGGUACAAAGACCAAACCCGCAGACAGUGGGCCACUGGAAAGCCAAAAUCUACGCCUUGGUGAUGACAGUGAACUCAGGAUUCUACACAGUUUGAAAAUUGCCUGUCAAGAUGGCCUCUGAGAGUCCCUCCAGCCCCCAAAGUCAGCGACUGUGUAUUUGCUCGUUGAGCUGAGUAAGACGCUGCUGACUGAACUCCUGCUCGGAGGCUCUGCCAAGCUCGGGGAAGUCUCGGCUAUGCACGCAGCCUGAGAAGGUUUGAUAUUACAGGCUAAGUUGUAUUUAAAAAUGACACUUAAAUAUCAUUAAGGAGCUUUCACUUGAGAAAAGUAUUUUGUAGUCAUCAUGGAAUUGCUCGAAGAAAUGCCGAGUGAGAUGCUAAGGAUUACCUCAAUCAUCAAGAGUUCAAGGAUGCUACGGAUUUCAAGUCUGCAAUCCCUCUGGGGAAAAGCAAAGGGACUCUGAUCAGAAGGGAGGGUUGCUGCCUGCCCACAAGGGACCGUCACAGAACACCUGCCCUUUCUAGGAAGAGGGCCACCACCAGGGCAGCCUGGCCAUCUGUGAGUCAGUUUCCCUCCAGACUUGCUGUACCCACCUGGAGAAUUCUCGUCUGCCUCUUCACCACCCUGCAUUCAAGAAACCUCCUCUGAUUAACCGCAUCCCAGCCUGAGCACUUCAUUCAACACCUGCUCAGAACUAAUUAAGCUUCAGACAAAUGGCACGCCCUCAGACAGCCUAUCAGAGAAUUAGCUUCUAUUUAGAGAGAUGAGCACCUGGGUGGGUCAUCUGGGGUUUAGACUCAAGGCUGAGGUGCAGUCUCUCUGUUAAAUCCGGAACACACGGAGAUGUCAAAAACGCCAAGACAGAUGUGAGUGAAUACGUGCCCGA